UGGGGAAUAUUGCACAAUGGGCGCAAGCCUGAUGCAGCCAUGCCGCGUGUAUGAAGAAGGCCUUCGGGUUGUAAAGUACUUUCAGCGGGGAGGAAGGCGAUAAGGUUAAUAACCUCAUCGAUUGACGUUACCCGCAGAAGAAGCACCGGCUAACUCCGUGCCAGCAGCCGCGGUAAUACGGAGGGUGCAAGCGUUAAUCGGAAUUACUGGGCGUAAAGCGCACGCAGGCGGUCUGUCAAGUCGGAUGUGAAAUCCCCGGGCUCAACCGAGGAAGUGCAUCCGAAACUGGCAGGCUGGAGUCUUGGAGAGGGGGGUAGAAUUCCAGGUGUAGAGAUGAAAUGCGUAGAGAUCUGGAGGAAUACCAGUGGCGAAGGCGGCCCCCUGGACGAAGACUGACGCUCAGGUGCGAAAGCGUGGGGAGCAAACAGG
rnacentral:rRNA from 1 species